GCCGACAUAGUACGAUUGGUCAGUAUCCUUGCUUCUCACUUCAGGUGGCUCGUGGGUGAUCGAGGUUCCAUCCCUCGUGUCGGUA